rnacentral:lncRNA from 1 species
GUAGGGAAAAUUGGAGGGAAUAUUGAAGGCGGGGGCUGGAAUGGAUUUGGAAUUAAAGGUGGCUGGAAUGGAUUUGGAGGAAAUACAAAUGUUUUCUGAUCAUUUGAAAAUUCAUCAUUUUUAGGUCCUGGAGGGAGAAUUGGAAGGUCUGGAAGUUGUGGCAGAGGAGGAAGCCUAGGCAGAAGUGGGAGUGGUGUAAAUUGACCUGGGUUAUCGAUCGGGGGUAUAAUUGAUGCUGGUGGAUCUUGGAGCGGUGGUGGAAACGGAGGAUCAAAAUUUGGAGAAUUAAUUAUCG